GACGAACGCUGGCGGCGUGCUUAACACAUGCAAGUCGAACGAAGAGCGAUGGAAGCUUGCUUCUAUCAAUCUUAGUGGCGAACGGGUGAGUAACGCGUAAUCAACCUGCCCUUCAGAGGGGGACAACAGUUGGAAACGACUGCUAAUACCGCAUACGAUCUAAUCUCGGCAUCGAGGAUAGAUGAAAGGUGGCCUCUACAUGUAAGCUAUCACUGAAGGAGGGGAUUGCGGCUGAUUAGCUAGUUGGGGGGGUAACGGCCCACCAAGGCGAUGAUCAGUAGCCGGUCUGAGAGGAUGAACGGCCACAUUGGGACUGAGACACGGCCCAGACUCCUACGGGAGGCAGCAGUGGGGAAUCUUCCGCAAUGGACGAAAGUCUGACGGAGCAACGCCGCGUGAGUGAUGACGGCCUUCGGGUUGUAAAGCUCUGUUAAUCGGGACGAAAGGCCUUCUUGCGAAUAGUGAGAAGGAUUGACGGUACCGGAAGAGAAAGCCACGGCUAACUACGUG
rnacentral:rRNA from 1 species